CCUACGGGAGGCUGCAGUGGGGAAUAUUGCACAAUGGGGGAAACCCUGAUGCAGCGACGCCGCGUGAGUGAAGACGGAUUUCGGUAUGUAAAGCUCUAUCAGCAGGGGAGAAAACGACGGUACGUGAUUAAGAAGCCCCGGAUAACUACGUGCCAGCAGCCGCGGUAAUACGUAGGGGGCAAGCGUUAUCCGGAUUUACUGAGUGUAAAGGGGGGGUAGACGGGAGCACAAGUCCGGAGUGAAAUGCCGGGGCUUAACCCCGGAACUGCUUUUGAAACUGUGCAGCUAGAGUGCAGGAGAGGUAGGUGGAAUGCCUGGUGUAGCGGUGAAAUGCGUAGAUAUUAGGAAGAACACCGGUUGCGAAGGCAGCUUACUGGACUAUAACUGACGUUGAGGCACGAAAGCGUGGGGAGCAAACAGGAUUAGAUACCCUUGUAGUC
rnacentral:rRNA from 1 species